CGUUCUCUGUUUCUUGCUCGUUCUUUUCCUCUCUGUUAAGACUUCUCGCUCUAAUGCUUGGGGUUAGACACAGAAACAGAAAUUCAAAGGAUGCGCCUUAGCGGAACAACAAUGUUGCUCCAUUGUGACCUAGAGAGGUCACAAGUUCGAAACCGGAAACAGCCUCUCCAUGUGGAGAUAAGGCUGCAUACGUCUAAUGCUCCCCAUACCUCGCAACUGACGGUUGUAGAAAGUGACUUCCACUAUGCUUGUCAGCACCAAAAAGUCAGUGUUGAUUCCUCUCUUCAGAAGAAGUUGAAAGGGUGUGUAUGAGAUGGCAAUGGCCAAUUUUUGCUCUGACAGUUUUGUACCACCUUGGGACCAAUAUAAUACCUGCACUCAAUCCAGACUAACUACGAAGCAAGAUUGGCUGAAUUUGAUGUACUUGAGUAAUGAUGGGUGGUGUGUAUUAUUGUAGUGAUAAGGCUCUAAGUAAUCAAAUGGGUGAAGCCCUACUAUUGUCACAGGUUGGUCUGUUUUCAUGUGUUUAUAAAUGAGUUGGUGGUCCUCUAAUUUCCAAGGGCUAUCAAUUCUGGGACAAUGUUGUAUUAGAGAGGCUUGUAAAUUAUGCUCACUUCCAAAAGCAUUUUAGAGAAAUCAGUCAUUUGGUCCAA